GCGCCCUUUGAGCGCAUGCGCAUGCUCGUUCAGAACGAGAUUGUCAUCUCCCUGCCUUUGACCACGGAUGUACUGGCACUGGCGGGUUGAGAUGAUGAGGAAGGUCGGGUUCGCCCGGCCUUUUUUAUU
rnacentral:sRNA from 1 species